GCCAAGGUGGCAGAGUCUGGUAAUUGCAAAAGGCCUAAGCCCUUUCACCCAGGGGUUCAAAUCCCCUCCUUCGGCU
rnacentral:tRNA from 1 species